UACGUAGGGCGCGAGCGUUGUCCGGAAUUAUUGGGCGUAAAGAGCUCGUAGGCGGCCCUGUUGCGUCUGCUGUGAAAUCCCGGGGCUUAACCCCGGGCGUGCAGUGGAUACGGGCAGGCUGGAGGCAGGCAGGGGAGAAUGGAAUUCCCGGUGUAGCGGUGAAAUGCGCAGAUAUCGGGAGGAACACCGGUGGCGAAGGCGGUUCUCUGGGC
rnacentral:rRNA from 1 species